UUCCACGUCACGUGAUUUCCGGUCUCUCUCUUCUCGAAAGAAACAUGGAUCGGCAACGCAGCCUCUUGCUCAAGCGUUUGAGAUGCAAAAAACGAGCAGCAGACCUGGGAUGAGACGACAUACCCUGCAUUUAGAUGUAAGCCAAUAAAGGGGAGCAUUGGGCAGCAGUGGUGGCCGUGCCCAGGAAUCAUUUUUGGUGAUUUAACCCUCAAUUCCAGCCCUUGAUGCUGAGUGCCAAGCAGAGAGGAUGGCUUUGAAGCCUAUAGUGAGUCUGUUAUUGUCAUCCCCCAGUGGUAACUGAUGAUGUAAGCCAAUAAAGGGGAGCAGUGGGCAGCAGCGGUGGCCGUGCCCAGGAAUCAUUUUUGGUGAUUUAACCCUCAAUUCCAGCCCUUGAUGCUGAGUGCCAAGCAGAGAGGAUGGCUUUGAAGCCUAUAGUGAGUCCGUUAUUGUCAUCCCCCAGUGGUAACUGAUGCACAUGCAAGCGGAUGAUGCACACGAAGCAGUGGAUACCACAUAUCUGGACUUUCAGUUUCAUGUGUGGCCUGAUGUGAGUGGAGACUGGUGCCUUCCUGUGGAUGUGACUGAAACUCUAAAAGAAACGUGAUUGCAAUGGAGUUGAAAUUGAAUAAAAAAAACCUACAUAAUCACA